rnacentral:rRNA from 1 species
GGUUAAGCGACUAAGCGUACACGGUGGAUGCCCUGGCAGUCAGAGGCGAUGAAGGACGUGCUAAUCUGCGAAAAGCGACGGCGAGGUGAUAUGAACCUUUGACCCGUCGAUGUCCGAAUGGGGAAACCCAGUGUGUUCCGACACACUAUCGUUAACUGAAUACAUAGGUUAACGAGGCGAACCGGGGGAACUGAAACAUCUAAGUACCCCGAGGAAAAGAAAUCAACCGAGAUUCCCCCAGUAGCGGCGAGCGAACGGGGAGCAGCCCGGAGUCUGAAUCAGCUUGUGUGUUAGUGGAACGGUCUGGAAAGUCCGACGGUACAGGGUGAUAGUCCCGUACACGAAAACACACUUGCUGUGAACUCGAAGAGUAGGGCGGGACACGUGGUAUCCUGUCUGAAUAUGGGGGGACCAUCCUCCAAGGCUAAAUACUCCUGACUGACCGAUAGUGAACCAGUACCGUGAGGGAAAGGCGAAAAGAACCCCGGCGAGGGGAGUGAAAAAGAACCUGAAACCGUGUACGUACAAGCAGUGGGAGCCUCUUUAUGGGGUGACUGCGUACCUUUUGUAUAAUGGGUCAGCGACUUAUAUUCUGUAGCAAGGUUAACCGUAUAGGGGAGCCGAAGGGAAACCGAGUCUUAACUGGGCGUUAAGUUGCAGGGUAUAGACCCGAAACCCGGUGAUCUAGCCAUGGGCAGGUUGAAGGUUGGGUAACACUAACUGGAGGACCGAACCGACUAAUGUUGAAAAAUUAGCGGAUGACCUGUGGCUGGGGGUGAAAGGCCAAUCAAACCGGGAGAUAGCUGGUUCUCCCCGAAAGCUAUUUAGGUAGCGCCUCGUGAACUCAUCUUCGGGGGUAGAGCACUGUUUCGGCUAGGGGGCCAUCCCGGCUUACCAACCCGAUGCAAACUACGAAUACCGAAGAAUGUUAUCACGGGAGACACACGGCGGGUGCUAACGUCCGUCGUGAAGAGGGAAACAACCCAGACCGCCAGCUAAGGUCCCAAAGUCAUGGUUAAGUGGGAAACGAUGUGGGAAGGCACAGACAGCCAGGAUGUUGGCUUAGAAGCAGCCAUCAUUUAAAGAAAGCGUAAUAGCUCACUGGUCGAGUCGGCCUGCGCGGAAGAUGUAACGGGGCUAAACCAUGCACCGAAGCUGCGGCAGCGACACUAUGUGUUGUUGGGUAGGGGAGCGUUCUGUAAGCCGUUGAAGGUGUGCUGUGAGGCAUGCUGGAGGUAUCAGAAGUGCGAAUGCUGACAUAAGUAACGAUAAAGCGGGUGAAAAGCCCGCUCGCCGGAAGACCAAGGGUUCCUGUCCAACGUUAAUCGGGGCAGGGUGAGUCGACCCCUAAGGCGAGGCCGAAAGGCGUAGUCGAUGGGAAACAGGUUAAUAUUCCUGUACUUGGUGUUACUGCGAAGGGGGGACGGAGAAGGCUAUGUCAGCCGGGCGACGGUUGUCCCGGUUUAAGCAUGUAGGCGGAGGUUCCAGGUAAAUCCGGUACCUUUUAACGCUGAGGUGUGAUGACGAGGCACUACGGUGCUGAAGUGAUAAAUGCCCUGCUUCCAGGAAAAGCCUCUAAGCAUCAGGUAACACGAAAUCGUACCCCAAACCGACACAGGUGGUCAGGUAGAGAAUACCAAGGCGCUUGAGAGAACUCGGGUGAAGGAACUAGGCAAAAUGGUGCCGUAACUUCGGGAGAAGGCACGCUGAUAUGUAGGUGAAGCCCCUGCGGGCGGAGCUGAAAUCAGUCGAAGAUACCAGCUGGCUGCAACUGUUUAUUAAAAACACAGCACUGUGCAAACACGAAAGUGGACGUAUACGGUGUGACGCCUGCCCGGUGCCGGAAGGUUAAUUGAUGGGGUUAGCGGCAACGCGAAGCUCUUGAUCGAAGCCCCGGUAAACGGCGGCCGUAACUAUAACGGUCCUAAGGUAGCGAAAUUCCUUGUCGGGUAAGUUCCGACCUGCACGAAUGGCGUAAUGAUGGCCAGGCUGUCUCCACCCGAGACUCAGUGAAAUUGAACUCGCUGUGAAGAUGCAGUGUACCCGCGGCAAGACGGAAAGACCCCGUGAACCUUUACUAUAGCUUGACACUGAACACUGGUCCUUGAUGUGUAGGAUAGGUGGGAGGCUUUGAAGCGUGGACGCCAGUCUGCGUGGAGCCAUCCUUGAAAUACCACCCUUUAAUGGCUGGUGUUCUAACGUAGACCCGUGAUCCGGGUUGCGGACAGUGUCUGGUGGGUAGUUUGACUGGGGCGGUCUCCUCCCAAAGAGUAACGGAGGAGCACGAAGGUUGGCUAAUCCUGGUCGGACAUCAGGAGGUUAGUGCAAUGGCAUAAGCCAGCUUGACUGCGAGCGUGACGGCGCGAGCAGGUGCGAAAGCAGGUCAUAGUGAUCCGGUGGUUCUGAAUGGAAGGGCCAUCGCUCAACGGAUAAAAGGUACUCCGGGGAUAACAGGCUGAUACCGCCCAAGAGUUCAUAUCGACGGCGGUGUUUGGCACCUCGAUGUCGGCUCAUCACAUCCUGGGGCUGAAGUAGGUCCCAAGGGUAUGGCUGUUCGCCAUUUAAAGUGGUACGCGAGCUGGGUUUAGAACGUCGUGAGACAGUUCGGUCCCUAUCUGCCGUGGGCGCUGGAGAAUUGAGGGGGGCUGCUCCUAGUACGAGAGGACCGGAGUGGACGCAUCACUGGUGUUCGGGUUGUCAUGCCAAUGGCACUGCCCGGUAGCUAAAUGCGGAAGAGAUAAGUGCUGAAAGCAUCUAAGCACGAAACUUGCCCCGAGAUGAGUUCUCCCUGAGACUUUAAGUCUCCUGAAGGAACGUUGAAGACGACGACGUUGAUAGGUCGGGUGUGUAAGCGCAGCGAUGCGUUGAGCUAACCGAUACUAAUGAACCGUGAGGCUUAACCUU